UACGUAAGGGGCAAGCGUUGUUCGGAUUCAUUGGGCGUAAAGGGCGCGUAGGCGGACAGCUAAGUCGGAUGUUUAACCUUCAGGCUCAACCUGAAGUCUGCAUUCGAUACUGGUUGUCUUGAGUAUCAUAGGGGAAAGCGGAAUUCUCGGUGUAGCGGUGGAAUGCGUAGAUAUCGAGAGGAACACCAGUGGCGAAGGCGGCUUUCUGGAUGAAUACUGACGCUAAAGCGCGAAAGCGUGGGGAGCAAAC
rnacentral:rRNA from 1 species